rnacentral:misc_RNA from 1 species
GCUUGGGGAUGGAUUGAUAUAUGAAGUUGUAGAUGGUACCAAUAGCUUCCCCCAUUUUUAUGGGCCGAAACGAAGUUUCAUUCCUCUCCCUUUCGAGGCAGUUGUCAAAGCAGAGAAGAUUACCGUAUCAGAUGGCCAGUUCAUUUGUAGUCUGUUGAAUUAAGCUGUUAUAUUGUGAUUUGACAUAUUAUUCAGGCAUUUUGUUGUGAAUCUCUUGGACAUAAGAGACGGGCAUUUUCU